CCUACGGGGGGCUGCAGUCGGGAAUUUUGCUCAAUGGGGGAAACCCUGAAGCAGCAACGCCGCGUGAGGGAUGAAGGCCUUCGGGUCGUAAACCUCUUUUGCCGAGGACGAUGAUGACGGUACUCGGUGAAUAAGCCACGGCUAACUACGUGCCAGCAGCCGCGGUAAUACGUAGGUGGCAAGCGUUGUCCGGAUUUACUGGGCGUAAAGAGCGCGCAGGCGGUCGUCCAAGUCGAAUGUGAAAGCCCCCGGCUCAACUGGGGAGGGUCAUUCGAUACUGUUCGACUCGAAGGCAGGAGAGGGAAGUGGAAUUCCGGGUGUAGUGGUGAAAUGCGUAGAUAUCCGGAGGAACACCAGUGGCGAAGGCGACUUUCUGGCCUGUUCUUGACGCUGAGGCGCGAAAGCUAGGGGAGCAAACGGGAUUAGAUACCCCAGUAGUC
rnacentral:rRNA from 1 species